rnacentral:rRNA from 1 species
AUGAACGCUAGCUACAGGCUUAACACAUGCAAGUCGAGGGGCAUCAGGAAGAAAGCUUGCUUUCUUUGCUGGCGACCGGCGCACGGGUGAGUAACACGUAUCCAACCUGCCCUUUACUCGGGGAUAGCCUUUCGAAAGAAAGAUUAAUACCCGAUGGCAUAAUGAUUCCGCAUGGUUUCAUUAUUAAAGGAUUCCGGUAAAGGAUGGGGAUGCGUUCCAUUAGGUUGUUGGUGAGGUAACGGCUCACCAAGCCUUCGAUGGAUAGGGGUUCUGAGAGGAAGGUCCCCCACAUUGGAACUGAGACACGGUCCAAACUCCUACGGGAGGCAGCAGUGAGGAAUAUUGGUCAAUGGGCGCUAGCCUGAACCAGCCAAGUAGCGUGAAGGAUGAAGGCUCUAUGGGUCGUAAACUUCUUUUAUAUAAGAAUAAAGUGCAGUAUGUAUACUGUUUUGUAUGUAUUAUAUGAAUAAGGAUCGGCUAACUCCGUGCCAGCAGCCGCGGUAAUACGGAGGAUCCGAGCGUUAUCCGGAUUUAUUGGGUUUAAAGGGAGCGUAGGUGGACUGGUAAGUCAGUUGUGAAAGUUUGCGGCUCAACCGUAAAAUUGCAGUUGAUACUGUCAGUCUUGAGUACAGUAGAGGUGGGCGGAAUUCGUGGUGUAGCGGUGAAAUGCUUAGAUAUCACGAAGAACUCCGAUUGCGAAGGCAGCUCACUGGACUGCAACUGACACUGAUGCUCGAAAGUGUGGGUAUCAAACAGGAUUAGAUACCCUGGUAGUCCACACAGUAAACGAUGAAUACUCGCUGUUUGCGAUAUACAGUAAGCGGCCAAGCGAAAGCAUUAAGUAUUCCACCUGGGGAGUACGCCGGCAACGGUGAAACUCAAAGGAAUUGACGGGGGCCCGCACAAGCGGAGGAACAUGUGGUUUAAUUCGAUGAUACGCGAGGAACCUUACCCGGGCUUAAAUUGCAGUGGAAUGAUGUGGAAACAUGUCAGUGAGCAAUCACCGCUGUGAAGGUGCUGCAUGGUUGUCGUCAGCUCGUGCCGUGAGGUGUCGGCUUAAGUGCCAUGACGAGCGCAACCCUUAUCUUUAGUUACUAACAGGUCAUGCUGAGGACUCUAGAGAGACUGCCGUCGUAAGAUGUGAGGAAGGUGGGGAUGACGUCAAAUCAGCACGGCCCUUACGUCCGGGGCUACACACGUGUUACAAUGGGGGGUACAGAAGGCAGCUAGCGGGUGACCGUAUGCUAAUCCCAAAAUCCUCUCUCAGUUCGGAUCGAAGUCUGCAACCCGACUUCGUGAAGCUGGAUUCGCUAGUAAUCGCGCAUCAGCCACGGCGCGGUGAAUACGUUCCCGGGCCUUGUACACACCGCCCGUCAAGCCAUGGGAGCCGGGGGUACCUGAAGUACGUAACCGCAAGGAUCGUCCUAGGGUAAAACUGGUGACUGGGGCU